rnacentral:ncRNA from 1 species
GGAAGAGAUAGAGGCUAAGAACCCCGUCCGCAAAACGUUCGGGCACCCAUGGGACGGAGGGAGCCAGUGGUGCGACCGGCUAUCUGGGAU